CUACGGGCUGCUGCAGUGGGGAAUAUUGCACAAUGGAGGAAACUCUGAUGCAGCAACGCCGCGUGGAGGAUGACACUUUUCGGAGCGUAAACUCCUUUUAUAUAGGAAGAAGAUGACGGUACUAUAUGAAUAAGCGCCGGCUAACUCCGUGCCAGCAGCCGCGGGUAAUACGGAGGGCGCAAGCGUUACUCGGAAUCACUGGGCGUAAAGAGCGUGUAGGAGGAUUAAAAAGUCAGAAGUGAAAUCCUAUAGCUUAACUAUAGAACUGCUUCUGAAACUCUUAAUCUAGAAUAUGGGAGAGGUAGAUGGAAUUUCUGGUGUAGGGGUAAAAUCCGUAGAGAUCAGAAGGAAUACCGAUUGCGAAGGCGAUCUACUAGAACAUUAUUGACGCUGAGACGCGAAAGCGUGGGGAGCAAACAGGAUUAGAUACCCCCGUAGUC
rnacentral:rRNA from 1 species